rnacentral:rRNA from 1 species
UACGGAGGGGGCGAGCGUUAUUCGGAAUUAUUGGGCGUAAAGGGCGCGUAGGCGGCUGUACAAGUCAAAGGUGAAAUCCCUCGGCUCAACUGAGGAACUGCCUUUGAAACUGUACGGCUUGAGGCCGGGAGGGGGUAGCGGAAUUCCCAGUGUAGCGGUGAAAUGCGUAGAUAUGCGGAGGAACACCGAUGGCGAAGGCAAUCCCCUGGGCCUGCACUGACGCUCAUGCACGAAAGCGUGGGGAGCAAACAGG